GCCUGUCCCAGUUCGGACUGGAGUCUGCAACCCGACUCCACGAAGUUGGAUUCGCUAGCAAUCGCGCAUCAGCCAUGGCGCGGUGAAUACGUUCCCGGGCCUUGUACACACCGCCCGUCAAGCCAUGGGAGCCGGGGGCGCCUGAAGUCCGGGACCGCGAGGACCGGCCUAGGGCGAAACUGGUAACUGGGGCUAAGUCGUAACAAGGUAUC
rnacentral:rRNA from 1 species